AUGGAUGGCAAAAUUAGUAUCAGAUACAAGGUUGACCUGGAGCGCAUGCUGCUUAAUGGAAGUGCACAGCCAACACACAUGCAGUUAUCGCUUUUAGAAGAUAUCACAGACUGUUUCUCCGAUGAUCAGCAAAUUGGUAGCGGUGGGUUUGCGGUGGUUUAUAAGGGAAUAGUGGGAAAACGAAUGGUUGCUAUGAAGAAGUUGUCCCAAACACUUGAUAUGCAUGAGAAUAAAUUUCACAAAGAGGUUGAGUGCUUGAUGAAGGCCAAGCACAAGAAUAUAGUGCGGUUCCUAGGAUAUUGUUCUGACACGCAAGGGAGGAUUGCGGAUUAUGAGGGUAAGUUUGUGAUGGCAGAUCUGCGGAACUGGUUACUAUGUUUCGAGUAUGUACCAAAUGAAAGUCUCGAUAAGUAUAUUACAGAUGCAUCUGGUGGUCUUGAAUGGGGUGAGCGCUACCAGAUAAUCAAGGGAAUAUGUGAAGGAAAUUGCACUGAAAGGAGAUUUGGGACUUCUUGA
rnacentral:rRNA from 1 species